UACAGAGGUCUCAAGCGUUGUUCGGAUUCAUUGGGCGUAAAGGGUGCGUAGGUGGCGUCGUAAGUCGGGUGUGAAAUUUCGGAGCUUAACUCCGAAACUGCAUUCGAUACUGCGGUGCUUGAGUUCGGGAGAGGUGAGUGGAACUGCGAGUGUAGAGGUGAAAUUCGUAGAUAUUCGCAAGAACACCAGUGGCGAAGGCGGCUCACUGGCCCGAUACUGACGCUGAGGCACGAAAGCGUGGGGAGCAAACAGG
rnacentral:rRNA from 1 species